rnacentral:tRNA from 1 species
AAUUAAAUGGCCGAAUUUAGGCAAUAAAUUGUAAAUUUAUGUAUGAAAGUUUUUUUCUUUAAUUA